CAUUGUGAUCUAAAGCCAAGCAAUGUACUCCUUGAUGAAGAUAUGACAGCCCAUGUGGGUGAUUUUGGAUUGGCAACCUUCCUCCUUGAAUCAUCAAGAAAUCCCUCAAAAAAUGAAGUAGUGUCAGCUACAUUAAAGGGCUCGAUUGGAUACAUCCCUCCAGAGUAUGGAAUGGCAGACCAAGUCUCUGUACUUGGAGAUGUUUACAGUUUCGGGAUACUAUUGCUGGAGAUGUUUACAGGGAAAAGGCCUGACGAUGAAAUGUUCAUAGAUGAUCUAAGCAUUCACAAAUUUGUUGCCAUGGCUUUGCCUGAACAUGCCAUGAAUGUUAUUGACCCAACAAUGCUUGAAGAAGAAGAAAAUGAUGAUAAUGAGGCAAAUAAAGAUGAAAUUGAAGAAAAGGCAAUAAUCAGAAACAGUAAUGCACAGGCCAAUGCAAAUAGAAUAGAAGAAUGCGUAGUCUCAGCAAUGAGAAUUGCACUCUCGUGUUCUUCAAGGGCACCAGGAAAGCGACUGAAUAUGAACUUAGUUGUCAACAAAUUACAUGACAUUAGAGAUUCAUUUCUUCGAUCAAAGAACAGAAGUUGAAGAAGUAUGAAUAAAUGUUUACCCAACACAGUAUCAACUCAUUUCUGCGGUACAUGUAAUUUGAGAUCAGUCAUUUCUUAUUAUGCGGUUGAUUAAUUAUUGUUCAAGCUGUUGUAAUCAUAGCUUUUAAAAUCUGCUCGACCCGGUCAAUCAAAUCGAUUUAGCUAGAAAUCUG
rnacentral:misc_RNA from 1 species